rnacentral:rRNA from 1 species
GAUGAACGCUGGCGGCGUGCUUAACACAUGCAAGUCGAACGGGAAACCUUUUAUUGAAGCUUCGGCAGAUUUAGCUGGUUUCUAGUGGCGGACGGGUGAGUAACGCGUGGGUAACCUGCCUUAUACAGGGGGAUAACAACCAGAAAUGGUUGCUAAUACCGCAUAAGCGCACAGGACCGCAUGGUCCGGUGUGAAAAACUCCGGUGGUAUAAGAUGGACCCGCGUUGGAUUAGCUAGUUGGCAGGGUAACGGCCUACCAAGGCGACGAUCCAUAGCCGGCCUGAGAGGGUGAGCGGCCACAGUGGGACUGAGACACGGCCCAGACUCCUACGGGAGGCAGCAGUGGGGAAUAUUGCACAAUGGGGGAAACCCUGAUGCAGCGACGCCGCGUGAAGGAAGAAGUAACUCGGUAUGUAAACUUCUAUCAGCAGGGAAGAUAGUGACGGUACCUGACUAAGAAGCCCCGGCUAACUACGUG